GGCGGAGGGAGUUGCUGGAAAGCGAUCCAGCUGGAUCUCACAUCAAGGGGCAGCGAGGAGAACCAGGGAGAAAAUACUGUUCCUGCUUCUUGAGCUCUUCCCCCACCCCCAGCCCCUCUUCCUUCUCGCCUCCCCAGGCUGCCCCUCAAAAAAAACACACGAGCCAGCGCGCCGCCGGCCGGCUGGCCUCUUGGCUCCGCCUGUGCCAGCAGCCCGACGCGUUUCGCUGCUAGGAGAAGGAGGAGGUGGCGGCGGCGGCGGUUUGCUACUGCAUGUGGCGGAGCUGACCCGGCACUGGGCUGGGAGGAGGAGGAGGAGGAGGCGGAGGAGGACCGGACCGGACCGCCCUCCUUGUCCCUCCCUCCUUCUCCAAGUAAUCUGGGCGCCCGACUUCUCGCAAGCGGCCGAGACGAGGCGUUUGCGCUCUUGGAGACGCGGAACCCGGGCAGCUGCUCCGCCGCGCCACCAUGGAUUCGGAUUCCGGAGAGCUGAGCGAGGGGGAGCUGGUUUCUUCAGCAGAGCUGAUCCCCAGGGCUGCUCUCCUGCAGAUGACUAGCAAGACCAUUUGUUCCAUCUUCCACAUCGGACAGCAAGUAACUACCGUAUUUUUCGCUCUAUAAGACGCACCAGACCACAAGACAUACCUAGUUUUUGGAGGAGGCAAACAAG
rnacentral:lncRNA from 1 species